CACAGAAGAUGUGUCCUACAUCAGUGGAAGGCCAGACAAACUAAAAAAUUAUUCUAUGAUAGAAGUUGGAACAAGUUCGCGCACCGGAAGUUAGUUUCAUCGCAUCGAGAAAUCCAGCGCCUCUCAUCUUCCUUCGUCGAGAUGUGGGUUGACACGCCGACUGCGCCGGAUAUUUCGACUCCUGAGACAUAUAAGGCUAUCGCGAAAAAAAAAAAAGGAGCGAACGAAAAAAAAAAAAGAAAAGCUCGAGUCUCGUUGCACUAUCUCAAACUCGCUGUCAAAGAAGCAGCACUACGACCACGAAAAAUAAUGUAGAGCAAAUAUUGACGAACCAGUGAAACGCACGUACUUCUUUACUAUAUUUCAUAGAAAGUUUCCACCUGCCUUUAUCAGCUAAGAACGGCGUAUCGCACACCAAAAUUCAAGCAGACCACCACUACAAUGUCCCGUAUCACGCACAUAGCCUGCCGGUCUUUGUUUUCACAAAAGAACAUUCAUGAUUGUUUUUGUACAAUGUCUGUAUACAGUGCGUUUCUUCUCUCGGGUUAUAU
rnacentral:lncRNA from 1 species